GGAGAAGCAGGGGAUCGCAAGACCUUGCGCUUUUGGAGCGGCCGAUGCCUGAUUAGCUUGUUGGUGAGGUAAAAGCUCACCAAGGCUCCGAUCAGUAGCUGGUCUGAGAGGACGACCAGCCACACUGGGACUGAGACACGGCCCAGACUCCUACGGGAGGCAGCAGUGGGGAAUUUUGGACAAUGGGGGCAACCCUGAUCCAGCCAUGCCGCGUGAGUGAAGAAGGCCUUCGGGUUGUAAAGCUCUUUCAGCCGGAACGAAACGGUCACGGUUAAUACCCGUGACUACUGACGGUACCGGAAGAAGAAGCACCGGCUAACUACGUGCCAGCAGCCGCGGUAAUACGUAGGGUGCGAGCGUUAAUCGGAAUUACUGGGCGUAAAGCGUGCGCAGGUGGUUUUGUAAGUCAGAUGUGAAAUCCCCGGGCUUAACCUGGGAACUGCGUUUGAAACUACAAAGCUAG
rnacentral:rRNA from 1 species